GCCGUUGUAGCUCAGUCGGUAGAGCAUCUGAUUCGUAAUCAGGAGGUCGGGGGUUCGAUUCCUCUCAACGGCA
rnacentral:tRNA from 3 species